rnacentral:rRNA from 1 species
GAACGCUGGCGGCAGGCCUAACACAUGCAAGUCGAACGCCCUAGCAAUAGGGAGUGGCAGACGGGUGAGUAACACGUGGGAACCUUCCCUAUAGUACGGAAUAUACCAGGGAAACUUGGAGCAAUACCGUAUACGCCCGAAAGGGGAAAGAUUUAUCGCUAUAGGAUGGGCCCGCGUAGGAUUAGCUAGUUGGUGAGGUAAUGGCUCACCAAGGCGACGA